CUGCGCAACCACGUGACUCGCACUCACAAGACAAACCUUAUUAUUAUUAGUUUUGGAACGAAGUAUAAUCGACUUGACUUUGAACCCGACAUAGUGACGACAUAGGCAUUGGGAUUCAAGAUUAGGAUUGUAGAUUUUUAGAUCCAGUUAUUGCUAGGCUCUCAAGGGGGAUAACAUUGUCGUAGUGACUGACUCAACUGUGGCCCAUUCUGAAUUAAAGAUUGUUAUGAUGUUUUGUUUGUUUGUUUUACAUAAUUCGGAUGUUCCUUCAGAGUUGAAGAUAGUUUACUUCCUAGUCCAAACCUCCCGCAGGACGACGGGGGAUGGAAGCGGGCAGGGUUUGAACCCUCGACCGUCGAUAAAUCCGAACGACAGUCCAGCGAGCAAACCGCACGACCAGGCAGCCAUCUCAAGUGACUGUCCAUUGAGCCUGUUCGUUACUUUUCGCUCUUUGUGACGUCAUGUAGUUCGAUAUUUUCGGACUCGCACCUGUAAUACACGAUCUACAAUUAUCAAGCCCAGGGUGAAGAAGGCGUGACUAAAAUACUAAAGUUAGUUGAAGCAGAGCUGGCAAAGUUAAAGAUAAAGUAUGCUGUAAGUUAUUUGACUAAUUUCAUGGAGCUGGAACAUUCUCAAGAGAUAAAGAAUAAGCAGCUUAAACAAGCGAAGGAC